rnacentral:snRNA from 1 species
GGAUGUGAGGGCAAGAUGGCCGUGACAUCUGUCAUCCCAUUGGUCACCAGGGUUAAUCCGGUUUAUUUGGCUGAUCUGGCUGGUUAGGCGAGGGUCCCGAACAAGCUCCCCAGGACCAUUUGUAGAAGAAUGUGGGGUGUCAAGCUUCCAAGACUCCAGACACAUCCAAAUGAGGCACUGCAUAUUGCAGCCUGCCUUUCUUA